CUUAAAGGGAAACAACAACAGAAGCUCCCUGCUUGAGCACACACAAUGAUCUGCUUAAUGACUGAGUCAUAGAAGAAAUGCACCCAUGCAGCAUGACUGUAAUGUCUUUUCCAGCAUUAUUGAAGUUAGCGAGAAAUAUAUGCCUCUAGUCAACUUGACUGAAGACCUAUGCGGAAGGCAUAGGAAGUGUGCCGUGUACCAGUGGGAGAUCCAUGCCCAAAGCAUCACUAACACAUCUAACAUGGACGCUUCCCACCGCCUCCUGCUCUAUACAUUGCUCUGUCAUUGAGCAUGGGCUGCCAUGUAUAUGACAGUGAGGAUGAUGGAACUAGCAGGAGGCACUUACCAACAAGAAUAAUUUCAAAAUUUACUCUGCUAAUACAAGCAACCCUUCAACUUGUAGAUAGCAUGUCAGAUGGCAUUUCAUCACAUAUUUAUUUGAACCGAAAGCCUAUGAUCAACGUGACGAAGAGAGGAGACAGUACAGCAUGCAUUACUGAGAGCUACUAAAAAGUUAUCAGUGGCAGAGAAAAUGUCUUCUUUGAAACACGAAGGGAGGAUGAUGAAGGUAAUAGCUUCAAGCCUGAGUGGACUGAUUUCUAUUACUUUGGUGCAUGUCCUCCAAGCAAAGUAUGUUUGUUUGUAUCACAGGCACGGCAACGGUUGUCAUCAUUUUAUUAAGCAGAAACAAAACUAUGGCAUUGA